CUAUUUUGCCGUCGACCACUUCUGUUCUGUCAGCCCAAUUUCUUUCUCUUCUUGUUCUCGCCGGCGACAUGAGUUCUCCGCAUUUCGAUUCUGUCCUUUUGUUACGUCAUUCAGGGAACGAGCAUGUUCGCCGUCACCGGUUUCACCAAGCGACCCGCUGUGGUGCUCGUUGCUGGGCACAUCGUGGACCAUUCCCUUUGCCUGGAAUCUGAUAACUGCUGGUUACCUUGAGCUGACAAUAUAUGGGGUUGUCUUCAGUACCCUUGUUGUCUCCUGUUUCUGGGGAAGUUGCUCGAACCUGUCCGGGGUUCCAAUGAAUUCCUGAAUUUCAUCUUCCUGGUCAACUUUCUUACAUCUCUAUGUGUUUUCGUCACCGCUGUUGCCUUGUACUAUGAGGCGGGACAAUUACCUGUUUCCAUGGUGUCUUGGCGGCUCUCCUAGUUGGGAUAACCUGAUCAGGAGCUAUCACCAUUACGAACAAAAGCAAAGGUGAAGGAAUUGUUUCCCAUGAGCUCACAGCUUCAUUCGCUCAUAAAACAAGGACCCUUUUCUCCUUCACAGUUCACCCGUCCCUUCUGUCUGUCAAUGGAUCUUGACAGUGAAAUGCAGAUCGAUCAUUGACCCUAUCGCGUCAAUCUUUCACCGGAUGGUUUGUGGACGUUCUGAUACCUCUGAUGAGGCCCAUGGUUACACUCUGGGAGGUGCUCCAUUGCCAGGUUU